AAGACAAAAAGGAAAGUGAAUUCCAUUUCUCUAAACUGAAGAGAAGGCAAGAUUUGGAAAAGAAAAGAAAACUUAGAAAAAUAGAGUGGAUGAGGCAAAUGUACUACUCAGGAAGUCUGGAGGCUAAGUCAACACAUCAUGAAACUCUAGGACUAAUUCACACUGCAACAAAGGGGCUGAUUAGAGCUUUUGAAGAUGGGGGGAUAGAUUCUGUGAUGGAAUGGGAAGUGGAUGAAGUGCUGAACUGGACAAAUACACUGAACUUUGAUGAAUCUACACACUGAAAUGUUUACAGAUGAAAUGAUAUGACAUCUUGCUUUAAAAUAAUAUUGGAAGGAAGUUGGUGGAAAGAGAAAUGGAACAAAAUUGUCCAUGAGUUGGUAACUGCUGAAACUGAGUGACAAGUACAAGGGGGUUCAUGAUGUUAUUGUCUCCUUUUGUAUGUUUGAAAUUUUCCAUAAUAAUAAAAGUAAAAAG
rnacentral:lncRNA from 10 species